GAUGAACGCUGGCGGCGUGCCUAAUACAUGCAAGUAGAACGCUGAAGCUUGGUGCUUGCACCGAGCGGAUGAGUUGCGAACGGGUGAGUAACGCGUAGGUAACCUGCCUGGUAGCGGGGGAUAACUAUUGGAAACGAUAGCUAAUACCGCAUGACAACAGUUAUUGCAUGAUAGCUGUUUAAAAGGGGCAAUUGCUCCACUACCAGAUGGACCUGCGUUGUAUUAGCUAGUUGGUGAGGUAACGGCUCACCAAGGCGACGAUACAUAGCCGACCUGAGAGGGUGAUCGGCCACACUGGGACUGAGACACGGCCCAGACUCCUACGGGAGGCAGCAGUAGGGAAUCUUCGGCAAUGGACGGAAGUCUGACCGAGCAACGCCGCGUGAGUGAAGAAGGUUUUCGGAUCGUAAAGCUCUGUUGUAAGAGAAGAACGAGUGUGAGAGUGGAAAGUUCACACUGUGACGGUAUCUUACCAGAAAGG
rnacentral:rRNA from 1 species